rnacentral:rRNA from 1 species
UACGUAGGUGACAAGCGUUGUCCGGAUUUACUGGGCGUAAAGAGCGCGCAGGCGGUCGAUCAAGUCGAGUGUGAAAGCCCCCGGCUCAACUGGGGAGGGUCAUUCGAUACUGAUCGACUCGAAGGCAGGAGAGGGUAGUGGAAUUCCCGGUGUAGUGGUGAAAUGCGUAGAUAUCGGGAGGAUCACCAGUGGCGAAGGCGACUACCUGGCCUGUUCUUGACGCUGAGGCGCGAAAGCUAGGGGAGCAAACGGG